CCCUUAGAUGUCCUGGGCGGCCCGCGCACUACAAUGGCGUGUGCAGCGAGUGCCGAAGUAGAGUUUUCCGAGGUAUUCUUGCAAUGCUCGUUUUGAUGGAGAUAGACCCUUGCAACUGUUGGUUUUGAACGAGGAAUUCCUUGUAAGCAUGGUUUAUCAUCCGACGCUGAAUGCGUCCCUGCCCUUUGUACACACCGCCCGUCGCUCCUACCGAUGAGUCGUCCGGUGAAGUUCGUAGACCUCGUGAUCGCGGAUCACUGGGGGAAGCAAAAUGAACCUCGCGGUUUAGAGGAAGGAGAAGUCGUAACA
rnacentral:rRNA from 1 species